rnacentral:rRNA from 1 species
UAAGCAACUAUACGGUGAAACUGCGAAUGGCUCAUUAAAUCAGUUAUCGUUUAUUUGAUAGUACCUUACUACAUGGAUAACCGUGGUAAUUCUAGAGCUAAUACAUGCUAAAAACCUCGACUUCGGAAGGGGUGUAUUUAUUAGAUAAAAAACCAAUGCCCUUCGGGGCUCCUUGGUGAAUCAUAAUAACUUAACGAAUCGCAUGGCCUUGCGCCGGCGAUGGUUCAUUCAAAUUUCUGCCCUAUCAACUUUCGAUGGUAGGAUAGUGGCCUACCAUGGUAUCAACGGGUAACGGGGAAUUAGGGUUCGACUCCGGAGAGGGAGCCUGAGAAACGGCUACCACAUCCAAGGAAGGCAGCAGGCGCGCAAAUUACCCAAUCCCGACACGGGGAGGUAGUGACAAUAAAUACUGAUACAGGGCUCUUUUGGGUCUUGUAAUUGGAAUGAGUACAAUUUAAAUCCCUUAACGAGGAACAAUUGGAGGGCAAGUCUGGUGCCAGCAGCCGCGGUAAUUCCAGCUCCAAUAGCGUAUAUUAAAGUUGUUGCAGUUAAAAAGCUCGUAGUUGAACCUUGGGCCUGGCUGGCCGGUCCGCCUCACCGCGUGUACUGGUCCGGCCGGGCCUUUCCUUCUGGGGAACCUCAUGCCCUUCACUGGGCGUGUUGGGGAACCAGGACUUUUACUUUGAAAAAAUUAGAGUGUUCAAAGCAGGCCUUUGCUCGAAUACAUUAGCAUGGAAUAAUAGAAUAGGACGUGUGGUUCUAUUUUGUUGGUUUCUAGGACCGCCGUAAUGAUUAAUAGGGAUAGUCGGGGGCAUCAGUAUUCAAUCGUCAGAGGUGAAAUUCUUGGAUUGAUUGAAGACUAACUACUGCGAAAGCAUUUGCCAAGGAUGUUUUCAUUAAUCAGUGAACGAAAGUUAGGGGAUCGAAGACGAUCAGAUACCGUCGUAGUCUUAACCAUAAACUAUGCCGACUAGGGAUCGGACGGUGUUAGUAUUUUGACCCGUUCGGCACCUUACGAGAAAUCAAAGG